rnacentral:rRNA from 1 species
AUUGAACGCUGGCGGCAUGCCUUACACAUGCAAGUCGAACGGCAGCACGGGUGCUUGCACCAGGUGGCGAGUGGCGAACGGGUGAGUAAUACAUCGGAACGUACCUUAUCGUGGGGGAUAACGCAGCGAAAGCUGUGCUAAUACCGCAUACGCCCUGAGGGGGAAAGCGGGGGAUCGCAAGACCUCGCGCGAUUAGAGCGGCCGAUGCCUGAUUAGCUAGUUGGUGGGGUAAAAGCCCACCAAGGCGACGAUCAGUAGCUGGUCUGAGAGGACGAUCAGCCACACUGGGACUGAGACACGGCCCAGACUCCUACGGGAGGCAGCAGUGGGGAAUUUUGGACAAUGGGGGCAACCCUGAUCCAGUAAUGCCGCGUGAGUGAAGAAGGCCUUCGGGUUGUAAAGCUCUUUUGUCAGGGAAGAAACACCGGCUCUAACACAGUCCGGGAAUGACGGUACCUGAAGAAUAAGCACCGGCUAACUACGUGCCAGCAGCCGCGGUAA